rnacentral:tRNA from 2 species
GGGGCCAUAGCUCAAUUGGUAGAGCACCGCCUUUGCAAGGCGGGGGUUAGGGGUUCGAUUCCCCUUGGCUCCA